GAAGAUGGACGGGUCGUCACCAAUGUGUGGGUUGUCGGUGCCGCCUGCGAUGCUGAAGCCCAGACCUGAGUUGCCCUGGGCAGAAGGAGGGGAGGAGCACACGUCUGAACCCC